AGUUAUAUGGAUUUCUUGCUGCUGACAGCUUGAGGAAAUUGAGAUAGCAACCUUGAGACUUGCAAUUUAAGUUCUUCUUGAUGUGGAACUGGAAAGAGACCAUGUGGAGCUAAAGAAGGAAGCUUUUGGAGAGCUUCAAAUUCAGAUUUGAGCUUUUGGAUUGAUGGGCUGCUCAGUUGGGGCUGUUGCUGCAGAAGAAUUAAAGUGAAGUGCUGUUGGUGUUGCUGAAAUUCAGGAGUGAGCCAUUUGAUGCAGUGAGCAAGCUAGUUCAGCAUCUAAUUGACGUAAGUUGAUUCUAAUAAUCAAUAUUAAUCAAGUUAAUUGAUUGGAACUAAGUGGUAACCUGAGGGGAGCUGCUGCCAUAGAAGAGAAGUGGGAUUUGUUGAAGCUGCCUAGCAGGAAGUUGAUUGUUGGAGCUGAAGGAAUGUUGAGCUGAGCGCAACUUAAGGGAUUUUCGAAUUCAGAAAUGAGACCUAAAAAGAGUUUAGUUGCUGAAAUUUCAGAUUUGGAGCUGAAAUGGCAAUCUUGGUGGAACUUGGUGGAUUAGUAAAGCAGUCACCCUUUGGUCGACGGCGCGCUAAUUACGUUAGAAGCCAAUUCGGCUCUAGUUGCAUUGGGUCGCGUGAUAUUGCUGUUAGCGCACUUCGAGACGUGGAUCUUAAUUGUUGACACCACUACAAGUUCCAGCGCGAGCGGUGUGACCGAGGAUCGCGGCAAGAACCCAACAGCUUAGCUAGUGGACACCCGAGUGCUAGUGGCAUACCAUUUUGAGUUCAUGUGAGAUAUUUUGAUGUAUAGAGACAUGUAAAUGAAUGUAUUAAAGAGCAUGUAUAUAACUAAAUGUUUCAGUUAUUCAGUUCAGUUUAAAAGUUUUAAAUGACA